CUGUGUCAAACAGAAAACGUUCCCAUGAAUUCCUCAACAGGCACUUACUGCAAGCAAUUGAUGAAAAUGAAAUAUUUAAUGGGGUUUUAUACCUGUGGACUUGGUGACACUGGUGCAUCUCAAAAGCCAAACUGUAAUGACAUCAGGAUGGAUGGUCAUGAGGCCAGCUUCAUGGAUGGUCACCUCACCAGCUUCAGUGGUGCUUCUCUUUUGGGGUAAGUAUUGGAUCUGGCCUGGGGGGUGUGGGAGUUGGUGGCAGCUGAGCUCUGGGAAGCUGUGGCUCCUCCUGACCCCAGAGUUUCCAGCUCUUCCUACUGAAGAUCCAGCAGUGCUGCCUGGGGUAAAGCUGAUGUUUCUCACUUGUCAGCAGCAUGUGACUGCAAUGCUCUCCAGAGAUCCAGCCAUGCCCACAGGCAGCUGUUCAUCUCAUCUGAGGCCUUUCCUCACUUGGCUUGGCUACAGAGUCCCUGCAAGUAGCAGGACCUCCUUGCCUGGUGGAAGCAGGCGGGACUGUUGUCCCACGGGUGUUGUCACAUCUCAGAGGAAUUUCCCACUGGGAUUUCUGUGGCACUUUCAACAGCAAGGGAAGGAACUGAGUGUGGAUUUUGCAAGGUGUCCACAGAUGCCCAGAAGCCAGCAUGGCCUCCAAAGGAAGCUGGAAAGGUUCUGCCAUCCCGGAGGAGACGUGGCUGGGGCUGUAAUCCAGCCCUGCAGUUUAUGUGCAGAAGGCCAUCCCUUUCACACACGAAGCACAGCGAGCCCAAACCAGAUCCCCGUUCUCCAUGGGGAUCAGCCCGCAGGGAUGAUGAGAGAAGCAGAGUGAGUCCCCAGCCCUCUCCAGAGCUGGACUGCAAAACCACAGGCUUCAGCAAAGCCCUUGGAGCCAGCCCACCUCCCAGCAGAGGGACUGUCCCUUUCUCUCAACUCAGGGCUGGAAAUAAUGACAGGAUACUCUUCUCUGCAGACCCGCCCGACAGAGAGCCGGGAGGGAUCCACUGUGAAGCCCCAAAACCGAUCUUGAGGAAGAAACACAGCUUGCCUCCCAUCCUCCACCCCUGCAAACCCAAGGGGAGGGACUGUCUGUGGAUGUCCCUUUGGGUCAGAAUCCUGCACAAGGCAGCACCCCUGGGUGCUCAGCAGUCUCUCUGAGGAGGUUCUGUUUAGGUUGGCUGCUGCUGAUCCCAGCCUGUCCUCAGCACACAGAUGCUUUUAACCUCUUGAGGAGGGGUCGGAGUGGCCAGCAGCUGCUGAGGACAUUGCCACAAUUCAGCCAUGUCCCUGCUCAGGGCAUGGACUGUAAACAAAGUAGGGAAUCCAGGCCAUAUCCCAGCCCAGCCUGGCUGCCUGCCUCAAGUUCCCUGUUGCCCAGAAUUUGGAGCUUGCCUCUUUUUCCAUUACCUCUAAGCAGAAAUGGUGAAUGUUUCGGUAAUGUUUCCUAAAAAUAAAAAUGUCAACGGA